rnacentral:rRNA from 1 species
UUCUUUAAGAAAAUAAUUUAAAGUAAAACCUGCUCAAUGAAAAUUAAAUAGCCGCAGAAUUCUGUGCUAAGGUAGCAUAAUCACUAGCUUUCUAAUUAAAAGAUAGAAUGAAUGGUUAAACGAAAUAUUUAUUGUUUCUUUUUUCAUUAACGAAAUUAAAUAAAAAGUUAAAAUUCUUUUAGCAAUAAGAAAGACGAUAAGACCCUAAAAACUUACAUUAUUUAGCUGGGGCGGCAUAUUAAAAAAACCUUAAUUUAAACCUCAAAAACAAAACAAAUAAAAUUUUAUAAGAACAGUUACUUUAGGGAUAACAGCGCUACUUUUUUCAAAAGUUCUUAUAUAAAAAAAUACUACGACCUCGAUGUUGAAUUAUAAUCCUAUUUGACGCAAAAGUCAAAAAAGAAAGUCUGUUCGACUUAUAAUUAUAU